CGAAUGGAUUAAGAGCUUGCUCUUAUGAAGUUAGCGGCGGACGGGUGAGUAACACGUGGGUAACCUGCCCAUAAGACUGGGAUAACUCCGGGAAACCGGGGCUAAUACCGGAUAACAUUUUGAACUGCAUGGUUCGAAAUUGAAAGGCGGCUUCGGCUGUCACUUAUGGAUGGACCCGCGCGCAUUAGCUAGUUGGUGAGGUAACGGCUCACCAAGGCAACGAUGCGUAGCCGACCUGAGAGGGUGAUCGGCCACACUGGGACUGAGACACGGCCCAGACUCCUACGGGAGGCAGCAGAGGGAAUCUUCCGCAAUGGACGAAAGUCUGACGGAGCAACGCCGCGUGAGUGAUGAGGCUUUCGGGUCGUAAAACUCUGUUGUUAGGGAAGAACAAGUGCUAGUUGAAUAAGCUGGCACCUUGACGGUACCUAACCAGAAAGCCACGGCUAACUACGUGCCAGCAGCCGCGGUAAUACGUAGGUGGCAAGCGUUAUCCGGAAUUAUUGGGCGUAAAGCGCGCGCAGGUGGUUUCUUAAGUCUGAUGUGAAAGCCCACGGCUCAACCGUGGAGGGUCAUUGGAAACUGGGAGACUUGAGUGCAGAAGAGGAAAGUGGAAUUCCAUGUGUAGCG
rnacentral:rRNA from 1 species